AUGGGUGCUCACCACGGAGACCUGGGCCGGCACAUCCGUCCUCGAUGCCGUCAGUCUCACGGGGCCCUGGGGCGGGGACGGCCAGCUUUCCACCGGGGCCUCUGCCUGUCUUCCCGACGGCCUCGUGCCCAGCCCCUGGAGGGGCGGGGAGCCUUCGGCAGGCUGGGUGCUGAUCUCGGACAGCAUCACACCUGUGCUAUGAGGCGGGCACUGCGGGACACCCACGGAGGACACGCCCUCGGAUGCCGCGGCUGCCCCGGCCUUGGUGUCCGGGGGCUGCGGGGCUGCGCCUGCCUGCGCCUCAGGCCCGGAGAGGGGGCUCCCCGCCCCCCCAGGUGCCUCCUGCUCUGCAGCCUCGCCUCUGUCCUUGGACCGGGUGCGCCUGAAGCCCGGCACGUGGAGCUUGGGCAUUUUGAACCGGCUCUCCUGCGCACUGACCGGCGUGGCUUCCGCGGGUGCGUCCUCCCCAGGGAGGCCUGCACCUGGUUUCCCACAGGGUGGCUGGGGCAGGUCCUCCCCUGGGGGGGCUGUCCCCUCCUCAGUGGGCCCAGGCCCUCCACUGCCACUUCCAGCAGCGGCAGUGUGUGCGGGCAGACGCGGCUUGGCUUCAGCCCGGCUCACCUCCGCCGUGGCCUUGGAGGACCUGCGGUCCAGUUUGACAAAGCCCAGACUGGGAAAGCGGGCCUGGGGGCAGACGGCGGCUCACAGCCCCUCCCCCCGAGGCGCCAGAGCUGCUGCCCCCACCCGCGCUGCUGGCCCUUUCCGUGGCGCCAACGCCACCCUUGGCUGCAGGGCUCGGCAGGGCCGCAGCGGCCUGCCCCUCCGAAGCCCUGGCUGUGGGAAGCCCACGCCUGCUCUUCUCGCCUUGCGCCUCUGGAGGCCGAUGCCCGUGCGUGUCCGCGUGGGAACCCGGACCCUUGGGCUGAGCGUCCGUGUGUUCUGCGUCCGAGUCCUCCCAGCUGCCCUCAGGGUCCCCCGUGGGCCCCCGGUCCUGCUCCAGAGCCCGGCUCUGCGACGGAAGCGUCCACCCGGGAGCUCUGA
rnacentral:lncRNA from 1 species